rnacentral:lncRNA from 1 species
CUUAGAGCCCUAGAGUAUAGCCACUGCUUUCGGUGUCUCACAUGUCACUGAGGAGUCAGCGUGGGAUGAGGAAACUGGCAGCUGGGAAAGUCACAUGAAGCUCCCUGAUGCAGCCAUCUCUUAUGUUGAUGAUACACUUUGCUUAAGUUACAGAUGAAUGGAUCACUAGCAGUCUUCAGUUUGUACUCCCAGACAUAACUUGCAUCACUGUAGCCUUCUAUCCCCCUACAGCUAGAGGCUACAGAAGAGUCAUUGCAAUCAAUGAAUAUUGUACAGAAUAGAAUUCUAAAGGCCUUAAGAGAUCAGUAAGGCUGAGAGCUGUCAUAGAGAAGCCCUCAUAGAGACCAUCUGGGCUGACAUAAGAAAAAGGCAAAAAACAUUACCGAUCUCACAGUCCUAAGAAAUCUGUGUUGCUACUCCAUCCCUCCCCGACUUUCCUUUGCAUAUGGAAGUUUAAGUAGGAACAAAGCAUGUGUUUAACAUUAUCUAAGGCUAGCAUAUCUAGUAGGACACUUUCAAUAGUUUAGACAUGGUUUCUAUAUGGAGAGACUGCUUUACCUAUCAAAGGUGUUCCAUGUACUAUCUACAAUAUUUCCCUGUGGUGGAUUUUUCACUGUGGUGUUUUUCUUUAGCCAGGCCAGUCUUUUGAUUCAGGUGGGAAAGAUUAGAUGGAAAUGCUCAGAUUUUCUCCUCAGGAACCCCACAAUCAAGUCCCAUAGAGGAGUGUAGGCUAUAUGGAUGAUUAUGGCACCAUCAAUCAGACACAAAGUCAAGAGCCCAUUAACAUGGAUAAGUUAUUCAUCUGCAUGGCAGCACAGCUGCACUUACAGAGCCUCGGCAAAGCAUUACGUACCACUGCCAGUAACUCAGACUGAAUUUUUCUCCAAAUCACAGUACGAAAGCUGAGAUUAGAAUUCAGUAAUGCCUGGCUUUAAUUCGCUGUGAUUGAACUACUAUACCUGAGGAGGGAAUGGAAAAGAAGAUGGAUAGCAGUGGAAACAAUUAGGAAAAAAAGGUCUCCCCACUGAAGGAGUCUUUCCCCAGAAGUGGUUCUGCAGGUAUAAGCAAAAAAUCCUUUGCUCAAGCCUCUCUUUUGUGUAUUCAAACACCAUUUCAGAUGAACAUUACAGUUCAGUGAAUGCAGUACUGUGGCUUGAACAUAAAUGGAGUAAGAGGAAAAGCCACAUAGAAGGGACUUGUAUUGACAGGAGACAUCAAGACUGACAGGAUACAUCAAGAUUGAAGAUGAUCUAUGAACUAUUUAAUACUCCUUGGCAGUCCAGCACAAUGGGAUAAAGGCUAGAAGAUAUGGAUGGAGUAAAUUCACUGCCUUUCUCUUUCUUGGUGUAGCUUAAGAAGUCAGCACAUUCUAACUCAGUGCUGUAGAGCACUAGCACCUGUGGUGUUGGUGGGGAAAAUUUGCUGCAAUCAUCACCUGAAUGCUAGGCCUACAGAAGGAGACUGCAGCUCCAAUAGAUGAGUUUUGUACAAUUCUCUCAACUGCACUUGUUCCUGUGACUUAACUUUUCAUCUCCUUUCUGGUACUUGUAACAAUGCCACUGUUGGUAAGUUUUCCUCCUAGCAGAGAAAAGUGAUGUAGAACAGGCACAUCAUUGGCUCAAGAAAAGGCCAGCAGUACCCAAGUGUAAGUAUUGUUCUAUCAGUGGGACAAGGAUUCCCCAGAAUUUUCAGAGAGAGCCUGAGGGAAAUUCUAAAGCCUGUUCAGUUCUUUUUGGUGGCCAGUGUGGACACUGAGAUUCUCUGAGACUCUUGAACAUCUGUUCUCAGUUGCACAGGAUAAUUGACACCAAAGAUGCAUGUAAAGUCACAUGACUGAGAAAACAGAACCCUUAAAAAAUGAGUGUCGCUUUUCAGAAGCCACCAUUUCAUAUAUUGGAGGAUUUAUUUCAGCCUGUUCUUUAGGUAAACUUCCCAUUAGUGCAUUUCUUUUAAGACUGGGUUUUGAAUGUUCCUUGAAAUGUUAAAACUGGAGUUCUGUCAAAUAAAUGAACACCAUUGCCUACUUUUGCAUAGAAAGCAUGAAAAUGAAAGGCUUUGUCAGAACUCAGCAGACAGUUUCAUAACUUUCCUGACCUUAGGGAAUAAAUUGGAUUUUUACCACUAAUCAUACUUACUGUUUGCAUUUUGAUAAUAUGACGUCAUAUUGGAGUUGAGUCACUGGGAAGAGGAUCUUGCCUCUCCUGAAAAUUAUGUGAAUGUUUCAGUGAACCACUGUUAAAUUUUGCUGCUUUGGCAGAGAAAGUUGAUAUUAGAGAGCACAGCAACGAAAUGAGUUAAUAUGUGCCAGAGACGUGAAAGAAACGCAAGAGAUUUUGCUAGUUUACCAGAGGGAAGAAAGCAGGUCUUCUUAUAUAUAAGGAAGACGUGAAAUUAAUAAUGUCUCAGAAGCAACUCAGAUAACUUACAGUGGUAUCAAGCCUGUCAUCAGUAAGAAUAUACAUCAAAAAGGCUGAAAUAUUAUGAUCAGAGAAAAACAACAAAAAUACUUUGGAAAAUAUGAAUGCAUAUAAUCCAGCUGGUCUUGAUCAUAUCUUAUGGCAUUCACCUCCCAAAGCUAUAUAAGCUGUAGCCCUCAUCUACACCUGAAAGUUACAAAAAUAUAAUGGAUGAUGUGGCUCUAUAAUUGAGCGUGAUUGAAUUACUGCAGGUAAGCAAGUUACAGCAUGCCAGCUGAGCCAUCGUAACUGGCUGCCUGCACUUUCAACUAAGUAAUGUCUGUUCAUUUUCAGUAAGAAUAUAAAACCAGUUCACAGAAACCAAAGCAAAAGAGCAAGUUCUUUUAUUUCAGUUCAAGGGUAGCAUAUUUCACUUUGACAUCAGUAGAUGCACUUGUUUGUCUUGGGUAAACUAAACUGUUAUAAGUUGAGAUGAAUAAAAAGCUAAGGUAAGAUAAAGGUAAUUUGCUCAACAACUAGACAAAAGCCAAUACUAUAUGGUGACUUUCAGAUGAGGAAGGAGAAUCUUUAUGAAAAUACUCUGUGAAAAUAGAUCAUUUUAGGAAUUAAAGGGAGGGAUAGUAUAUAUAAGAAACAGCUCACAGGGCUGGAUUCUUCUGUAUUUAUAUCAUGAAUAUAUUUCUGUUUCCAGAGUGGUCCUCUUGAUUUUCACUUAGCAAUUUCUAAUGUGAAACAUUUUUUAAUGUCAGUGAAUGAAUCAAAAUUAAGCUCCAGUGAAUUCUAUACUCAACAGUAUAUGGAAUGACAAAUGCCAGCAAUCUUCAUUUCAUAAAAGUGUUAAGAUAAAAAUAAGAAGUGCAGCAGAUACUUGUUAAUUUAACUUAGUAUCAAGCAUUACAUUCACAAGGUAUUACCUGGAAAAAAAUAGUCUCUGGAUAGAAGCUAUCUUCUGGAUUGAAAACCUGAAAAGAAGUGAUAAAUGCCAUAAUGCAUUUGAGAAUAACUGUCUGUACACUGCUGAUGUUAGACAAGUUUUUCUUAAGUCUUAUUAAUGAACAAAUACGUAGCAUAUUAUCGAAAACAUGCAUAUUGUACUACACAGAGACAUGUACUACUGUAACCAAAUCAAGUACUAGCUUACAUAAAAGAGAUUUAGGGAGAUUUAAACAUAUUCAGUUCAAGACUACCCCUACUAAUCAAACACAUGUUCAGAAUGAAAAGAAGCAAAAAUGGAAGAGGCAGUGCUGAAAGGUAGAGAUAACAGAAAACAUGAUGCAUGUAUUCGAGAUGUAUGACUAUAGCCAAAAAAAGCUGGUGCAAAUUAAUGUUCUAUAUGUUAGUACUUGUUGACCAGAACAGGAGAUAGUUCACUCUGUGCUCUCAUGUAGCAUCCUGGAGGUAUCAGACCCACUUCAUGCAUCCUAAGAACAGAAGGAUACCAAUAAGAUUGAGGAAACAGAAGAGAGAUCAUGGGAUUGAAGGACUUAGGAUAUCAUUAUACCAUUAUCAUUAAAUAUCAUUAAAUGAAGUGAGGACAAGCCAGGGAAGAGUAGUAAA